rnacentral:pre_miRNA from 1 species
CUACUUCUGGUCAGGCCAGAAAUUUUGCAAGAGCAGCCUCUCUCAUGAUAUUUUGGCACUUUUGCUUCUGGUCUUGCCUGAAGCCU